GUGGGAAAGUGGAAUUGGGCUUUUCCAGUUUUGCUUUGCUGUGUGUGAGAGAUUUUAAAAUGACUUUGGGCUGUGUUUGGCAUGAAUGUCUUGUCUCUUGCAUGUGUUUCACUCCCAAUCCUGUGAUGGCUCACUGAUAGAAAGACAGUGUCUGAAACAGGAUGGCAGAAUAGGCUGAGGACAUGCCCACACUCUGGGUGGGGAAGAGGAGCCUUUCUUUCUGCCAGCUUCAGUAAUAACGCAGAAGCUGGUAGGAGCUCCCACAUCAGAGCAGUACCAACCUUUUUGUCCUUUAAACACGGCAUACUGAUUAUAUAUAGUUGUGUUGCCUGCUGGAAGGGAGAGAUGGCCUGUUGGAUACAUAUGUGCCAUUUUGGCCAGUAUUUUUUAAAAGUAGGAGCUAAGGUGAUCUAGCAAUUAUUUAAGUACUUAUUGAAAUAGACUUGGGUCUUCAAACUUCUUUAAAAUAUUAGUGAUAGUUUGAGUUAAGCAUUUUAAAGUUGUUUGGUGAUAAAGAGAGAAGCUUAGUGUCUGAGGUUGGAAAUGGUAUAGUCUUCCGCUUUUACGAAGCGCUGUUGUGAUGCUCACAGCACACGGCACUGAGGCAGGAGGUUUGAGUGGAUAUUUCUCACUGGAGCACAAUACUUAGGUGCUCUUCCAACUCACUGCUACUCUCUCUCACUCUUGUUUUGGAUUUUCUCUUUGCACGUUUGAAAUGUUUUAUGAGGAUGCAUCAGAACACUUUUUCUUCUGAGAACUAAGGCUUCCAGAGGACUGACUUUCUACCUGAGGGAGAAGGAAGCAGCUAGAUAUGUCUCUAGCAGGAGGCGUAUGUUUUGUUUUUUUACAAGGAAGGGUGAAGCCACCAACAUCCCCCGGGGAGCACUAGGAAGGACAUAAAUGUGUUCCUAUCACAGGGCCCUACUUGACCUUUGGUGCCGUGAGAAAGUGAAUAUAAAGCACCAGGCAGAGUGAAAUCCGCCAGGAGUGCCUAGAGAUUUUUCAGAAGCUGCCAACAAGCAUUCUGUUAUUUUUGGAAAGUUCAAAUAUACAGGGACAAGGAGGUUGCUGACUGUACAGAAAGGCUCUAGGCAGGUUUUCUCUUUAAAAAGAAAAAAGAAAAAAACUAUUAAAUUAUCAGGGACCGGUCUCAAGGAAAGGGAAAAAAUUUCCCUAGAGUUAAGUUUCCAAAAGUAUCAUUUUAAAAGGUUACACACACACACACACACACACACACACACACACACAUGAUCAUUAAAAAGAAAAGUGAAUAGCUCAAAGCAGAACUUUAUCAUAGUUGUUUAUUGAAUCAUUUUUUUUUUUUACCUCUCAGAGCUAGUAUAGAUUCUGAGGAACUCUUAUAUUUACCAAAACACAAAAUAAACAAUAACAACACCACCA
rnacentral:lncRNA from 1 species